AGUGAACGCUGGCGGCGUGCUUAACACAUGCAAGUCGAACGAGAACGGAUUAUAGCUUGCUAUAAUUGUCAGCUAAGUGGCGCACGGGUGAGUAAUAUAUAGGUAACGUGCCCCAAAGAAGAGGAUAACAGUUGGAAACGAUUGCUAAGACUCUAUAUGCCUUUAUGACAUAAGUCAGCAAGGGAAAUAUUUAUAGCUUUGGGAUCGGCCUGUACAGUAUCAGUUAGUUGGUGAGGUAAUGGCUCACCAAGACAAUGACGCUUAACUGGUUUGAGAGGAUGAUCAGUCACACUGGAACUGAGACACGGUCCAGACUCCUACGGGAGGCAGCAGUGGGGAAUAUUGCACAAUGGACGAAAGUCUGAUGCAGCAACGCCGCGUGGAGGAUGACACAUUUCGGUGCGUAAACUCCUUUUAUAUAGGAAGAUAAUGACGGUACUAUAUGAAUAAGCACCGGCUAACUCCGUGCCA
rnacentral:rRNA from 1 species